rnacentral:rRNA from 1 species
GACGUAGGGCGCAAGCGUUGUCCGGAAUUAUUGGGCGUAAAGAGCUCGUAGGCGGUUUGGCGCGUCUGCUGUGAAAACCUAAGGCUCAACCUUGGGCUUGCAGUGGGUACGGGCAGACUAGAGUGCGGUAGGGGUGACUGGAAUUCCUGGUGUAGCGGUGGAAUGCGUAGAUAUCGAGAGGAACACCUGCGGCGAAGGCGGGUUGCUGGGCUGACACUGACGCUGAUGUGCGAAAGCUAGGGGAGCGAACGGG